GGGGGCGGCCGUGCGGGAAGGAGGCGCCCGCGGCGGAUGUGGUUUCCCGUUUCCCCUUUCCCCCUCCGGAGCUCGCGUUUUUCACUUCGCGCAGGACUGUGGCUCUCCUCCCGUGUUUCUGGCCGAGGGGCGGCUGCGGGAUGGCGCUGCCCCGCCUGCUGGUGCGAGCGCUGCACCGGGCGGCCGCUGCCGCCGCACCUGUGGCUCCAGAUUUCAACAGCUUUGUCACUCGGACCAACACGUGUGGAGAGCUGCGUGCUGCUCACGUGGGACAGAAGGUGACCCUUUAUGGAUGGGUUCAAUAUCAAAGACAAGGCCUGUUUCUGGUUCUGAGGGAUUUCCAGGGACUCACCCAGGUCAUCAUUCCUCAGGAUGAGGCACAUUCCCACGUGAAGGAGCUGCUGUCCAAUGCCCCACUGGAGUCUGUGGUGAGAGUCACUGGGACAGUGUCCCCUCGGCCCCUGGGGCAGGAGAAUCCGAAAAUGCCAACAGGGGAUAUUGAAGUGAAAGCAGAGACUGCAGAGAUCCUAAACUCCUGCAAGAAGCUGCCUUUUGAAAUCAAGGAUUUUAUCAAGAAGUCCGAGGCCUUGCGGAUGCAGUAUCGGUACCUGGACCUGCGCAGCUUCCGGCUGCAGUCCGCCCUGCGGCUGCGCUCUCGCGUGGUGAUGAGGAUGCGCGAGUACCUCUGCAACCUCCACGGGUUCGUGGAUGUAGAAACUCCAACUCUGUUUAAAAGAACCCCAGGGGGAGCCAAAGAAUUCCUUGUGCCCUCAAGGGAAGCGGGCAAGUUCUACUCUCUGCCACAGAGUCCUCAGCAGUUCAAGCAGCUCCUCAUGGUUGGAGGCCUGGACAGGUACUUCCAGGUCGCUCGCUGCUACCGGGAUGAGGGUUCACGGCCUGACAGGCAGCCAGAAUUCACCCAGAUAGAUAUAGAGAUGUCGUUUGUAGAUCAAGCUGGGAUCCAGAGGCUCAUAGAGGGCCUCCUGCAACAUUCCUGGCCUGAGGAAAGAGGCUCCAUUAUGACUCCUUUCCCUUCCAUGACAUAUGAGGAGGCCCUGGCUGAGUAUGGGACUGAUAAACCAGACACUCGCUUUGGGAUGAAGAUUGUGGAUAUCAGUGAUGUUUUACGAGGAUCAGACCUUAACUUUGUGCAGAAUGCCCUCAGUUACCCACAUGGCUCCAUCAGAGCUAUUUGUAUCCCUCAGGGAGUGUUUCCCCAGAGGUAUCUUACAAAUAAAGACUUGGAGUCGUUGAAGGAGUCGGCAAAAUCCCAGUUUAACCAGGAAAUCAUGGAAAUUAUCCGCAGACCUGAUGGAAGCUUGAAGUCUCUGCUUACCAAGUUCCUUGGUGCGAAGGAGCGGUCAGAGCUCAUCCAAGUACUAAACAUGCAGGAGGGUGAUGUGGUGCUGCUAGCAGCUGGAGAGCACAAGCAAGUGUGCUCUGCCUUAGGAGCCUUGCGGUUGUUGAGUGCCAACCUCCUGGAGGCAGCUGGGCUGGCACUCCGUGAUCCCACAGCCUUUCACUUCCUCUGGGUGGUGGAUUUCCCCCUUUUCCUCCCCAAGGCUGAGAAUCCCACUGAGCUGGAAUCUGCUCAUCACCCCUUCACUGCCCCUCAUCCUUCAGAUGCCAGUCUCCUGUAUUCUGAUCCCACAAAGGUCCGUAGCCAGCACUACGACCUUGUGCUGAAUGGCAGUGAGGUUGGAGGUGGCUCCAUCAGAAUUCACAGUGCAGAACAGCAGCGUUUUGUGCUGGAGAAAGUGCUGAAGGAGGACUGCGAGGUGCUUUCCCAUCUAAUUGAGGCUUUGGAAUUUGGAGCUCCACCUCAUGGAGGAAUUGCUUUAGGACUUGACAGGCUGAUCUCUCUCAUUGUUGACGCUCCAAGUAUCCGGGACGUCAUUGCCUUUCCAAAAUCCUUCAGGGGACGAGACCUGAUGGGCAAUGCUCCAGACUAUGUCACUCCAGAAGAACUAGAGCCAUAUCACAUUCAGGUUUCCUGGCCUCUUGAAGAAAAAGAGGCAAAGAAAAACUGACUUCAUGCCAGUGGUAGCAUUGUGUAAGAUUGUGCUUGGGCUUGUGGAAGCCAAAUCUACAGAAUAUCCCUGAAACCACGAUCUGCUUGGCACACUUAGCUGCAUAUUCUGGUAGGAGCAAGAGUAGACAGGCAGUACAAAGAAAUCCAUGGAAAUCAGGGCUGGUCAUAUUGCAGACCAGUAUCUCCUGCUUGCUGGAGAGAAGAUGCCAUCCUGUGAUCCUGAAAAGAGAUGUUGAAACCAUCACAGACCCCUUGUUGCUUCUGCCCUUUGUUAUUUUCCCUGUAUCAGACAAAUCUCUGGAGAAAUGCUGCUCUGUCAGCUGUUCUACGAGAUGCCAAAUCUUCCUCUGUUAAGAAUUAUUCUUUAGGUAAGAAUGUGAGGUUGAAUGUUCCCUGACAUGAUUCUCUCCUCUUCAGAGAACUUCGCCACAGGCACAGAUGGGAUGUGAAGAUCAGGGUGGGCAAUGGGAUUGUACAAGGAGUGCUCCAGCAGGAGCCAGGGUUGCAUGUGAGGCCUCUGCACUCUUUGACCCCACCUCUUACUGAUUUUCUUCCAUUGGAUCUGAACAAAACACUGGUAAAAUGCUUAUUCCCCACCUCUAGGAGAACCUACUCUGUGUAUGUUUCAAUAGAUUUGACCAGAACAACCCUAUAGUCAAUUUAUACUACCCCUUUGUGGAAGCAGAGAUCAGUUUCUGGUGUGUUUCAGUAUAUUUCCCUCCCUCUCCAGAACAGGAAUUUGCAUGCUGGUGGGAUUCUCAGCAGCCAAAGUGUGAGUUAUUUUAGUUUAAAUUUUUUUUGUUUCUUAAAAGUUUCCAAGCCUAUCCGGAAUAUUUUGGGUUGGGCCAAGCUGGGGAGUUAUUGCAGCCUUUGAUUUCAGCCAUCCCAGGUGGUUUGGGUGAAUUUAGCUGGUAGGGUUUUGUAUAAAGUGCAGAAUGACAGAAAGUGUUACCAGAAUUUAAUAUGGAGUUCAAUCCUGUAUUGUGUUGGUAUCUCUCUUGAGAUUAGCUAAAUUACAAUAUAAUUUACCAAAUUGCAAUGUAUCACAGCAGCUUUGUGUAAUCCCAUGCUGCAGAUACCCAGAGGUUCAGAGUGCUGAUGAAUUCCCAAUUCUGCUGAAAACAGAAAGUAUUAUCAUUUGUAACACAUCAGCUGAAAUAUUCCAAGAAUGGUUUCAGCUGUUUGCAGCCGGAUUUGUACCCACUAUUUUAUCCUGGGUGUGAGCAGGAGGUGGAGCUUUGUGCAUUCCCAAUCCCAGGAAUGCCUCUGCUGCUCUGGGUUCCACCAGCACCUCUCCCACUGUGAGGAAUGGAGCAGUGAUGCUGCACUGAAUGCAGGCAGUCCCCAAAAAUGAAUCUGUAUUGCUAAAAGCAGAAGGAUAAAGAGAAUUUAUGCUCUCAGAUGUAUGGAUUUCUAUUUUUCCCCCAGUUAUUUCUUACGUUUGCUUGCACUGGGGUUUGUUUGGAGCAUUCUUGAGCCCCUGCGCUCACAGCAGCAGAACAGGCAGAGACAACCAUAGCCACCUAAACAGUGCCAGAUGCAAAUCCCUCAAGUCAGCUUCACAUGACUUCACAUCUAAAUGUUUGGGCUCUGAUUCCAGGCUUGUGCUCUGGUUUGUUGUGUUCCUUUGGAAGCUUUGUUUUCUGUAAUUAAAAAAUGAUGAUUCCGUGCAGUCACCAGCUGUGCCAGGCACAGUUCUCAGCGAGCAGAGCUCCGUGACAGAUACGUUCAGAUGGAUUGGUCACAUUUUUCUCUAAUAACCCAUCAGGAGCCAGCUUGCUUGUUAUGUUUUGAUAGCCUUGGUGUUCACUGCAGAGCCGAAAAAAAAGCAUUGUGGAUGCUUUAAUUUGGUUAUAUUUUAACCAUAUUUGUAUUUUAUAGAAUAAUAGAAUCCAAGAAUUUAUUCAGGUUGGGUCUUAAAGACCCUCUAGUUCUACCCUGGGACACCUUCCACUAUCCCAGGUUGCUCCAAGCCCUGCCCAGCCUGGCCUUGGGCACUGCCAGGGAUCCAGAGGCAGCCACAGCUGCUCUGGGCACCCUGUGCCAGGGCCUGCCCACCCUCACAGGGGGCUGCUCUCUAUCACUUUAAAACUUCUAUCCCCUUGUCCCAUCACUACAUGCCCUUGCAAAAAGUACCUCCCCCUCUUUCUUGUAGACUCCCUUCUGUAUUUUUAUAGCCUUGAGUUCUGUUAAAUUAUGUGUUAUUCUAAAAACUACUUCCUCAUGCUUAAUUUAAAUCUCUCACCUGAUCAUUGCACAAGGCACUUUCGCAUGUAGCUUAUAGAAGUAAUGAUAUUCUAAUUUCUUAUGUGUUUUCUCUUAUGCUUAUAACUUCAUGAAUUAAUAUCCUCUCUUUUUCUUUUUUUUUUCCAUUCACAUUUAUUUUAAGUUUUAGGCAAUUUCACCUACUUUCCUGGGGAAAUCCCUGCAUGACUUCUGUGCAGUGACUUUUCAUACACCCUUGGACAGCUGGAUGGCCAAAGCUGAAUGCUCCUGUUGAUUGCUUUUGUGGGUUUUUUCCCCAAUAUCCUGCUGUUAGUAUUUACCAACCUUCAGUUCCAGUGACUAGCUUUGUACAAACCUGCCAGAGAACCAUGAGGAGAUGUGGGUGGAUGACAGGCUGAGCAGCUCAAGGUGCCACAGGUAUUGUCCCAGAGGGAGCAUCCCAGAAAUAGCCUGGGGAGGAGACCUCAUUGUGGCUUUCCAGAACUUUCUUCCCUGUGAAGAGGCCCUGGCACAGAGGAGCCGUGGCUGCCCCUGGAUCCCUGGAAGUGUCCAAGGCCAGAUUGGAUGGGGAUUGGAGCAACCUGGGAUAGUGGAAGGUGUCCUGCCCACAGCAGUGGGGUGGAAUGCGAUAUUGUUUAAGAUCCCUCCCAACUCAAACCAUUCUUUCUCUGAGUACUUUAAAGCUCACUCAUCUCUAACCUCCCAUGCUUCUUUUCAAGGAAAGAGUUUAAUAAAAGAUACCCUGUCAUAUUCAUAGUAAAAGAUUAAAAAAACAAUUAUGGAAGAGCUUGAUUUGGAUGUUUAAGAUGUCUUGUCAAAAUCCCGAGAAUUCUCUAAAUAGAAUUUAAACUGAAAGCAUAUGAAGCCAUGAAUUCUCAGCUCCUAUUUUCACUGUUAAUAUUGUAUAGCUAAAGCCAGAUCCAGCAAAAAAAAAGGAUUCUUGAUUCUUUUAAUGGGAGGAGCAUAAUUUUAGCACAGCUGCCACAGAAACACACAGGGCCAAGCUCUGCCUACAGUUGCCUCUGGAGAUAGCUGGAUUUAAUGCAUUUGCAGGAGCCAUGUGGAGAAAAUCUCUGGCAUGCUGUUACUAAUUUCAUUUGUGGAAGAUGAGAUAAAUAUUAAUGAAUAUAAACACCUAUUAAAUGUAGACUCACCAGUUAAAUAACUGUGCUGACUGAAUUAAUGUGCUCUGUAGUCAGGAAUGUUCAGCUGGAAUGAUGCUUUCUGAAAGGCAAUUUCUGCGAGUUCAUAAUUUUGUUAAUGGUACCUGAAAAACCUGCUGUUGAAGUUGGGAACCUGCAGACAUUUUUUUCUUCACAUCAAGGUCAUUUCCAUCCCUUUUUUCUGCUCCUCGCUGCUUCCUUGGCAGCACUGAUCAAAGCAUCUGAGGGGUGCCUGAUAAGCAGCCCUUCAUUAUUUCAUCCAGCACCACAUUUUGGACCCAGAACACUGCAUGGCCUCCCAAAACAGCUGCUGCAGUUCUGGUGAGGAACGGGACUAAAUAACUGAGCUUUGGAGGAUCUAGAAAUUAGCUGAGAGGAAUAAAAUGAGGUGCAGCUAAUUCGUGCUGCCUCCCCAUGGCUCCAGCUUAAAAAGAUUUAAAAAUACUGAAAAGUGUCAAAAUAAUCAGAAUCUAUUAUGCAACAGUAGGAAAUACUGAAGCUGUUCUUUAAAUAGCCAGUGACACAAGAUUUUUGUGUGCUUUCCUGGGGGUUACUGUUCCUUUUGAAAUCCUAGAAGAGAUUGCUGCUUUUUUCCUCAGCCUUUCACAGUAGUGGGGACUAAAAGCUAGAGGUACAAAUUGUGUGCAGAUAUAUAAAUUUUGUGAUGCUAUGCAUCCUAUAGUGAAGAAUAGGCACCAUAUAAUGUGCAGUUAGAAAACUGUAGUUGUUUUAACAAAUUCAUAAUCAGGAAAUGUCAUUUAAUGUAGAAGUGAAUGUAUGGUGCUCAUUUAUUUAUUAAGUAUACCAGGAGGAGAGGGAAAAUUGAGGAGGAGAAUUCUGCUGAGGGCUGUGUCCAUCAUUAAAGAGGAUUAAGGUGCUCAGGAGGGUGAGAUGCUUCACUCACCUUGCUCUCCACAGUCAGGACUUGAACCUAACACUGUAGAAACACUGGGAUGUUUAUAAGUGAGCUGAAUUUGAAUUAUGACCUCUUUGGCCACUCUUGCAUUUCACUUGGCUUUGCUUUUGAACUGCUGCAGGUUUGUUUGGGGCUUUUUCUCCCUCCCUGGAGCUGGAGUUAUAAAUUUGCCAUAUAACAUUUCAUGAUAGAUGGAGUGUUGGACUGUUGGGAAUGAGCUUUUUGUGACACUGACCUAAAGGUGCUGCUACUCAGUGAAUAAAAACACUUCCCCUUUGUAACCCUAGGCUUGCUUUAUUCUCUAAACCUGCAGGAAAAAUGCAUUUCGCUUCAUCAUGAUCCAUUAAUGUAAGAAAUACUUGUUCUGACCGUGACAACCCUUCCUUUCAGUGGCCCUGGUAAUCACAACAAACGAGGUCAGCAUUUCCUUUGGUUCUCCUCAGGCUGUUAACGUCCAUGUGGGAUAAUCUUGGCGACACAAAGAACUAUCAAAAAAUGUCAAGAAGGCCAAAAUGGUUAUUUUUCGUAGUUGUCAUUGUUAGAAAGUUCAAGAGAAAGAAGUGCUGAGUAGCACAGCUGAUGAUAAUGACAAAUAGUGAGGGCUUUGCUUAGAAUAGAGGGGAAAAAAUUACAUUCAGGAGGGCUCUUGGGAAAUCAGGCUGCCUGGGUGUCAGGAAUUUCAAUAAAGAGCUUUGAAGUGAUUUCAGAAUAUUUUGUGGUGCUUUCUGAUAAAUUUGGGUGGAUAGGUGAGGAACUUGACUGCUGUAAAACUCGCUCAGUACCUGUCUCUAAUAGGAAAAAAAGGGGACCUGGAUAGUCACAGAUCAGUUUAAUUUUCACUUGCAGGAGAAAAAAAAAUCUGAAAUAAAGCACAGGUCUGGAAGGUGCUGGAUGGGUAAAACCAUGUGGUUGUUUUGGGGAAGUGUCAUCUGCUGGUGUGAAAAGUCCCUCUCCAGCCUUCUUGUGAAUCCCUUUUAGGUACUGGAAGGUUGCUAUAAGGUAAAUUCAAAGGGUAUUUUCAGGUUGUUUAAUUCAGUCUGGGAUGGUGAAUAGAAAAUGUUCUUUCCUAUAUUUGUGAACAAACUAGUACAAAUUUGAGAAUCUGUAGGCUAGUGUGAUGUCUUAAGGAGUUGGAACAGAGGCCGGAUGGAGUUAAGAGGAAUAAAGUGGAUAUUUAUUGAAGUGCCUUCACUUUAUAUAUUUAUAUACAUUUUUAUAUAUUUAUUUAAUAUACAAAGAUAUAAUAUAUAAUAUACAUUUAUAUAUUUAUAUAAAAUUUAAUAC